GCUUACUUUGGCAAAACAUAUACUAAAAUUGGAACAAUACAGAGAAGACUAGCAUGGCCACUGAAAAUUAAAAUUUAAAAAAGAGAAAAUGCUAUUAUUUUU